rnacentral:rRNA from 3 species
CGGGCGUUAAGUUGCAGGGUAUAGACCCGAAACCCGGUGAUCUAGCCAUGGGCAGGUUGAAGGUUGGGUAACACUAACUGGAGGACCGAACCGACUAAUGUUGAAAAAUUAGCGGAUGACCUGUGGCUGGGGGUGAAAGGCCAAUCAAACCGGGAGAUAGCUGGUUCUCCCCGAAAGCUAUUUAGGUAGCGCCUCGUGAAUUCAUCUCCGGGGGUAGAGCACUGUUUCGGCUAGGGGGCCAUCCCGGCUUACCAACCCGAUGCAAACUGCGAAUACCGGAGAAUGUUAUCACGGGAGACACACGGCGGGUGCUAACGUCCGUCGUGAAGAGGGAAACAACCCAGACCGCCAGCUAAGGUCCCAAAGUCAUGGUUAAGUGGGAAACGAUGUGGGAAGGCCCAGACAGCCAGGAUGUUGGCUUAGAAGCAGCCAUCAUUUAAAGAAAGCGUAAUAGCUCACUGGUCGAGUCGGCCUGCGCGGAAGAUGUAACGGGGCUAAACCAUGCACCGAAGCUGCGGCAGCGACACUGUGUGUUGUUGGGUAGGGGAGCGUUCUGUAAGCCUGUGAAGGUGUGUCGUGAGGCAUGCUGGAGGUAUCAGAAGUGCGAAUGCUGACAUAAGUAACGAUAAAGCGGGUGAAAAGCCCGCUCGCCGGAAGACCAAGGGUUCCUGUCCAACGUUAAUCGGGGCAGGGUGAGUCGACCCCUAAGGCGAGGCCGAAAGGCGUAGUCGAUGGGAAACGGGUUAAUAUUCCCGUACUUGGUGUUACUGCGAAGGGGGGACGGAGAAGGCUAUGUUGGCCGGGCGACGGUUGUCCCGGUUUAAGCGUGUAGGUGUGUGUUCCAGGUAAAUCCGGUUCACUUUAACACUGAGGCGUGACGACGAGGCACUACGGUGCUGAAGCAACAAAUGCCCUGCUUCCAGGAAAAGCCUCUAAGCAUCAGGUAACAUCAAAUCGUACCCCAAACCGACACAGGUGGUCAGGUAGAGAAUACCAAGGCGCUUGAGAGAACUCGGGUGAAGGAACUAGGCAAAAUGGUGCCGUAACUUCGGGAGAAGGCACGCUGACACGUAGGUGAAGUGAUUUACUCAUGGAGCUGAAGUCAGUCGAAGAUACCAGCUGGCUGCAACUGUUUAUUAAAAACACAGCACUGUGCAAACACGAAAGUGGACGUAUACGGUGUGACGCCUGCCCGGUGCCGGAAGGUUAAUUGAUGGGGUCAGCGCAAGCGAAGCUCCUGAUCGAAGCCCCGGUAAACGGCGGCCGUAACUAUAACGGUCCUAAGGUAGCGAAAUUCCUUGUCGGGUAAGUUCCGACCUGCACGAAUGGCGUAAUGAUGGCCAGGCUGUCUCCACCCGAGACUCAGUGAAAUUGAACUCGCUGUGAAGAUGCAGUGUACCCGCGGCAAGACGGAAAGACCCCGUGAACCUUUACUAUAGCUUGACACUGAACAUUGAGCCUUGAUGUGUAGGAUAGGUGGGAGGCUUUGAAGUGUGGACGCCAGUCUGCAUGGAGCCGACCUUGAAAUACCACCCUUUAAUGUUUGAUGUUCUAACGUGGACCCGUUACCCGGGUUGCGGACAGUGUCUGGUGGGUAGUUUGACUGGGGCGGUCUCCUCCUAAAGAGUAACGGAGGAGCACGAAGGUUGGCUAAUCCUGGUCGGACAUCAGGAGGUUAGUGCAAUGGCAUAAGCCAGCUUGACUGCGAGCGUGACGGCGCGAGCAGGUGCGAAAGCAGGUCAUAGUGAUCCGGUGGUUCUGAAUGGAAGGGCCAUCGCUCAACGGAUAAAAGGUACUCCGGGGAUAACAGGCUGAUACCGCCCAAGAGUUCAUAUCGACGGCGGUGUUUGGCACCUCGAUGUCGGCUCAUCACAUCCUGGGGCUGAAGUAGGUCCCAAGGGUAUGGCUGUUCGCCAUUUAAAGUGGUACGCGAGCUGGGUUUAGAACGUCGUGAGACAGUUCGGUCCCUAUCUGCCGUGGGCGCUGGAGAACUGAGGGGGGCUGCUCCUAGUACGAGAGGACCGGAGUGGACGCAUCACUGGUGUUCGGGUUGUCAUGCCAAUGGCACUGCCCGGUAGCUAAAUGCGGAAGAGAUAAGUGCUGAAAGCAUCUAAGCACGAAACUUGCCCCGAG